AGAAGAUUAGUUUAACAAAAACUUUUGAUUUCGGCUCAAAAAAUUUUGGUUAAUAAUCCAAAAUCUCCCU
rnacentral:tRNA from 1 species